AGUGAAUAGAUACCCUGGUAGUCCUAGCCGUAGACGAUACUCGCUAGGUGUCGGCCACGGUGCGACCGUUGUCGGUGCCGUAGGGAAGCCGUGAAGCGAGCCACCUGGGAAGUACGGCCGCAAGGCUGAAACUUAAAGGAAUUGGCGGGGGAGCACCACAACGGGUGGAGCUUGCGGUUUAAUUGGAUUCAACGCCGGAAAUCUUACCGGGACCGACAGCGAUAUGAAGGCCAGGCUGAAGACUUUGCCGGAUUAGCUGAGAGGUGGUGCAUGGCCGUCGUCAGUUCGUACUGUGAAGCAUCCUGUUAAGUCAGGCAACGAGCGAGACCCACGCCCACAGUUGCCAGCGUACUCUCCGGAGUGACGGGUACACUGUGGGGACCGCCGCUGCUAAAGCGGAGGAAGGAAUGGGCAACGGUAGGUCAGUAUGCCCCGAAUAUCCCGGGCUACACGCGAGCUACAAUGGUUGGUACAAUGGGUAUCUAUCCCGAAAGGGUAUGGUAAUCUCCUAAAGCCAGCCUUAGUUCGGAUUGAGGGCUGCAA
rnacentral:rRNA from 1 species